UUUUUCCCACCCUCGCACCGCUGCCCCAGGCCAUCGGCACUUUCUCUGCGGCCCGAUGUCCUCCCCUGCCGCGGCCCGCGCUUCCACCAGCGUGCCCGCCGCCGCCGGCCCUACGCCCGAGGUCACCGUGGCGGCCCGCGUCUCCUUCUCCAGUUCGUCCUGGUCCAGCAGCGGCGGCCCCGCUUAAGUCCCGGGCGCCAAUAGGGUCCGAAGGCGCCACCGCUGAGACGCACGCGGCCCCUGCCGUGGCCAUAGCACUGUCGCCAGCGCCUGAACCAACACCGCUCCGCACCGGCUCUGGCGCCAGCCCCAGUCCUGCCUCGGUGAAGGAUCCGCCCGGGGCGCCUGCAGCGCGCUGAGCCCAGGGGCGCCGCUCGGUACACGCCGCACCGCUCCCGAGGCCGAUUGCAACGAGGGAAGUCACCCAGCUGAGGUGUCCCGAUCUGUGCAUUCGAGUGGUGUGGGGGUGAAGCCGCUGAGAAGCGGUCCGCAGGAUCCAGUUCAGGCCGGCCUUUGGCCAGCGCAACCGGGAAACUAGCUCUCUCUCCGAGAACCUCCUAACCAUGUGCGGACCAGGAACUACACUUCCCAGGAUGCAGCCCGAGGAGUCCCGGCAUCCCCCGGCCAUGACAGCCAAGGACGUGGUCAGACCGGGGUCGGUGGGAGCAGGACAGGCGGCUCCGCGACGACCACCACGCUCUCCCCUUCAGGCCCAGUCCGGGAUCCCUGCCGGCCGUUAAGUCUGAGCCCUCCCAGGCUCACACCAAGCCAGCAAAGUGCUGCUCAGCUGCUGCAGCUAAAAUCGGGGGACUACAUUUGGGGUGCGCGGCCUGGCUACUCUGGCUGCAGGCCGAGGGUUGAACGUUUAUUCAUCACAAUUAACAGCCUAUACAAGCAUCUCUAGAACAGAGGCUGUGGGUCCAAACGGGUCCCUGCAGCUCCAACCCUCUGGCCUCUCCGGGCACUGCCCUCACAGCCGAUGGAGCAUGGCUGGGCAGGCAGACAGGACACAGGCUCAGUCACAGGGUGUCAGGGGGAAGCUCUUCUAGCUGGAAUGAUUGGAAGUUGGCCCAGCGGCUGGGGCUGGUCUGUCCCUUCCCCUCCUGGGAAGUUCCACCUCCACUGUAGUUAAGGCCACCAGGAUGAAAGCAGGGUUAGGUCCAGGGACCCAGUAGAGCCUUGGGAUGCAUGAGGUGGGGGUAAAUGGGCUUGGCAGAGAAAUGGAGAUUGGGAAGGGGCCUGAUUAGAAUAGAAACUGAUGAUGUUGGUUCAGCACCUGCAAGAUGAGGAAGGUGACUGCAGCAACCUUAGAGCUUCCCAAAGGAAGCAAGUGAUGCCCCCAUCUGCCAAGAGGGUACCUCCUUCAGCCCUUGGCACAAGAGCCAGACCAAGGUGUCCAGGGAACUCCACAGGACAGAAGCCCUGCCGAGGUUAGGGGGAUGGUGGGUGAAGGAAAGUCUUCCUGGGGCCUGCAGCCCAGUCUCAAACAAGGAACAAGGACAUGGCUCACUGGUCCUCAUUUGUGAGCCAGUAGGCAGGGAGCGAGCCUUCUCUAGGGUAGAUCACAGCCUGGGGAAUUUUCCUUAGGGUUAGGAUGCAUCCACGGAGACAGACAGGUUAGGGCCAGUUUCCGGGAAGCUCAGUCAAGUGCUCUGGGCUCCUCAGGCCUCUCAGGCAGACCUUUUCUGUAGGGCAGUGCCCCCUAGGCUGCAGCUCUGACCUUUAGGAAAAGAUGGAACGAAGCUUGGCUGAUCCCAUGCCCACUAGCAUGCACCAGGGUCCCCAAACCAACUAGAUGGGCAGGGGCUGGGCCCAUGGGGUCCGGAAUGGAGGGUGGGGCCACUAGACCUGGGGUGGGGAGGAGAUGGGGGCACAGCCCCCAGGGUCCAUGGUGUUCCAGAGUCCCCUGAGUUUCAGGUUCAGCUGAUGUAGAUACGAUGGAAGUCGUGGGCACCAAAGGCCGCGUUGCACUUGGGGCACUUCCUCUGGCGGGCCUCAUAGCGGCCCCGCACGCACUCGAAGCAGAAAACGUGGAAGCACUUGGUAAGGACUGCAUCCUUCUUGCGGGUGUUACAGCAGGGGCAGGUCAACCGCGCCUGGGCCAGGCAAAGGCAUCAGCUUGGGAACAACUCUGACAGUGCCCAGACCCCAAGCUGACAGCAGGAGGAGUCCAGGCCAAGCCCACCACACUGGAGACUGCACCUCAUCCUCCCAUAACCCUGGAGGUAAGGACGAGCACUCUAUGAAUGAGCAAACUGAGGUGCAGAGGCCAAGGUCUCAACACUAGAAAUCAGCAGAGUCCGGAUUCAUCACUGGGCAGUGAUGGCUAUCAUGUGUCCCCUCAAAAGGACAAGGACCCACAGGCCCAGCCUGGACUCUGCCUUGGGGCUUCAUCUCCUGCCCCACUGGCCGCCUCUGGUGAAAUCCCAAUCUUGUCUACCUCUUCACCUGCACUUGCUAAGUCACAGCUGGAAUGGCAAUGCAACUAGAAAUCUGUUCUCU
rnacentral:lncRNA from 1 species